UAUGUAGAAUUCAAUCACAUGCGCGCGCAAGCAGCUCGGCUUUCGGUUCUGAGAAGCUCUUAAGGAGCCGCGUCUUUCUCUCCCUGGGUUUCUGAGAUGCCCGGGAGCUCCGAAUCUCGGGCUUUCCGCGCGGCCCUCCUGGGAGGGCCAGAUUCAAAGCUCCAAUUAUCCGCGCGAGGCUGGGAACUGCAUCAUCAGCAUCUCCCGCUAAGCCGGUCCGAACUGGAGGAGGUGGCGGAGGCAGAAGAAGAGGGACCAUCUUUCUCACCUGAGAUGCUCUUCACUAGGAAUUGUCAAUGA
rnacentral:lncRNA from 1 species